rnacentral:rRNA from 1 species
UACGUAGGGUGCAAGCGUUUAUCCGGAAUUAUUGGGCGUAAAGAGCUCGUAGGCGGUUUGUCGCGUCUGCUGUGAAAACCCGAGGCUCAACCUCGGGCCUGCAGUGGGUACGGGCAGACUAGAGUGCGGUAGGGGAGAUUGGAAUUCCUGGUGUAGCGGUGGAAUGCGCAGAUAUCAGGAGGAACACCGAUGGCGAAGGCGGAUCUCUGGGCCGUAACUGACGCUGAGGAGCGAAAGCGUGGGGAGCAAACAGG